UACGUAGGGGGCGAGCGUUGUCCGGAUUUAUUGGGCGUAAAGCGCUCGCAGGUGGUUCGUUGCGUCGUGCGUGAAAGACCCCGGCUCAACUGGGGAGGGUCGUGCGAUACGGGCGAACUGGAGGCCAGUAGGGGGAUGCGGAAUUCCGGGUGUAGCGGUGGAAUGCGUAGAGAUCCGGAAGAACACCGGUGGCGAAGGCGGUUAGCUGGGCAGUUGCUGACACUGAGGCGCGACAGCGUGGGGAGCAAACAGG
rnacentral:rRNA from 1 species